ACUCCUACGGGAGGCAGCAGUGGGGAAUAUUGGACAAUGGGGGGAACCCUGAUCCAGCCAUGCCGCGUGUGUGAAGAAGGCCUUAUGGUUGUAAAGCACUUUAAAGCGAGGAGGAGGCUACUGAGACUAAUACUCUUGGAUAGUGGACGUUACUCGCAGAAUAAGCACCGGCUAACUCUGUGCCAGCAGCCGCGGUAAUACAGAGGGUGCGAGCGUUAAUCGGAUUUACGUGGGCGUAAAGCGUGCGUAGGCGGCUUUUAAGUCGGAUGUGAAAUCCCCGAGCUUAACUUGGGAAUUGCAUUCGAUACUGGGAAGCUAGAGUAUGGGAGAGGAUGGUAGAAUUCCAGGUGUAGCGGUGAAAUGCGUAGAGAUCUGGAGGAAUACCGAUGGCGAAGGCAGCCAUCUGGCCUAAUACUGACGCUGAGGUACGAAAGCAUGGGAGCAAACAGGAUUAGAUA
rnacentral:rRNA from 1 species